rnacentral:rRNA from 1 species
AUUGAACGCUGGCGGCAUGCCUUACACAUGCAAGUCGAACGGCAGCACGGGAGCAAUCCUGGUGGCGAGUGGCGAACGGGUGAGUAAUAUAUCGGAACGUGCCCAGUCGUGGGGAUAACGUAGCGAAAGCUACGCUAAUACCGCAUACGAUCUAUGGAUGAAAGCGGGGGAUCGCAAGACCUCGCGCGAUUGGAGCGGCCGAUAUCAGAUUAGGUAGUUGGUGAGGUAAAGGCUCACCAAGCCGACGAUCUGUAGCUGGUCUGAGAGGACGACCAGCCACACUGGGACUGAGACACGGCCCAGACUCCUACGGAGGCAGCAGUGGGGAAUUUUUGGGACAAUGGGCGCAAGCCUGAUCCAGCAAUGCCGCGUG